rnacentral:rRNA from 1 species
AGCUGCAGUCGAGGAUCUUUCGCAUGGGCGCAAGCCUAACGAAGCGACGCUGUGUGGACGAUGAAGGCCUUCGGGUUGUAAAGUCCUUUCGCGUAAGAACAAGAGAGGUUAACGAAUAAUUAGCCGAUUUGAGGGUACUACGUAAAGAAGCACCGGCUAACUCC